rfam:Oscillibacter sp. CAG:155 genomic scaffold, scf24
ACAAUGGUACCCCUGCCCAGCCACAGCCUCAAGCAAUGGGGGCAGCUCGGAGAGAUCCUCGGAGGGGUUUGAUUCCCGGA